GAGGCAGCAGUGAGGAAUAUUGGUCAAUGGGCGAGAGCCUGAACCAGCCAAGUCGCGUGAAGGAAGACUGCCUUAUGGGUUGUAAACUUCUUUUAUACAGGAAUAAAAAGGCUUACGUGUAGGCCAUUGCAAGUACUGUAUGAAUAAGCAUCGGCUAACUCCGUGCCAGCAGCCGCGGUAAUACGGAGGAUGCGAGCGUUAUCCGGAUUUAUUGGGUUUAAAGGGUGCGCAGGCGGGCUUUUAAGUCAGCGGUGAAAUCUGGACGCUUAACGUCCAAACUGCCGUUGAAACUGGGAGUCUUGAGUAUGGAUGAAGUAGGCGGAAUUCGUUGUGUAGCGGUGACAUGCAUAGAUAUAACGAGGAACUCCGAUUGCGUAGGCAGCUUACUAAGCCAUAACUGACGCUCAUGCACGAAAGCGUGGGGAUCAAACAGGAUUAGAUACCCUGGUAGUCCACGCCGUAAACGAUGAUUACUAGUUGUAUGCGAUAUGAUAGUAUGUGACUAAGCGAAAGCGAUAAGUAAUCCACCUGGGGAGUACGCCGGCAACGGUGAAACUCAAAGGAAUUGACGGAAGGGCGAAUU
rnacentral:rRNA from 1 species